UUCCCACCAAACCACAGAACACAUCGAGCGCCUCCCCUCCCUGUGGCAGAUGACGAUGAUGAGGAUAUCUAUGGUAACCUACCUCGGAUGGCACUUGAAAAUGAUCUAGACGAUAAUGAGGAAAUUUAUGACAAAGUUUAUCAAGAUGACGAUGAAGAAAUUUACGAGGACUUAUGCGCUCGGAGACACAAACGAGGGUCACAUCCUGUAACUAGUCCAGAACAAUUACUG